AAAAAAUAAAAUAAAAUUCCGCGAAAGUCUUUUAAUGUUUUUGACGCAUUUAAGUCAUUUCAAAACAUGACGUCAUACAAAUGAAAACGCUACAGUUGAACGUUUUCUGAAAAGUGAACCAUCGAAAUUCGUAUAAUAUUGUAUUAAAAUUGAUUUGUAAGGUAGGUUUUGUUUUGUUUUCUAUUCUAUUGCAUUUUUCGCAUAUUUACUGAUUUCAGCAAGUCAACAUGGCGGCUCCUUAGUUACAAAAUGUCAACUUUGGAUUUGACGGUAGCUUACGAGAAAAACAUGUAAAUUAAAAAUGGCAAAUGUUGGGUUUGUGAAUUUAAAGAAUUAAACAGAUUUUUUUUUCUAGCGGUUAUUCACUAAACAAUCCAUGCAAGCUACAGAUUUUAUGAAUAUUUGAGCUUUAUCGAACCGGGAGUAAAAAAAGAACAGCCACACACACAGCAUACCUACCAUCGCUUCAGUUUUUUAAUGACCGUAUUUGUCCUAUUAGAAUCGAAAUAAUUCAUGGAAGCCAUAGAUUGUUGGAAAUUUACACAUGGCCUGGGCCGUGAUAUUCGUUAAUUUUAUCCCUCGCGAACGCUCAGGAUAAAAUUCGAAUAUCACGGCCCAGGCCAUGUGUAAAUU
rnacentral:lncRNA from 1 species